ACGAGCGGGCUGGCGAGGAGAGAGAGAGAGAAAUAAAUAAAUAAGUAAAUAAAGCCGUACCGCCCGCGCCAAUAAAAGAGGCAGAGACCGCGGCUCGGGCGGGGAUCGGCUCCUUUGCUGUGGCGGUUGUUUGCCCGGACUGAAGCUGCAAAGUUUAACCCCAACGUGUUGCUUCCUGAUGGCGGCUGCUGCCCAACUUCACCUGCUCAAGUGACUUGCCCAGUAGGGCUCCUGCUGCUGGCCUGCUGCCUGGCAGCCUCCCGAGCCCUGGGACUGCAGCGAGGGGCUUCCUUCCCUGCCUCCGCCCGGCUAGGAAAGCCAGGCGGGGGAGAAACGGCAGACAGAUACAUGUCCAGAAAAACUGAAUACUACUGAAAGGAAAGAAUAGAAUACUUUCUGGAUUUUCUUCCCAUCGGCAGAGUAUAUUGAUUGUAGCAUUCCAUCAAUUCUGAGGAUCAACUUAUUUGUAAAUAUUCCAUUUUAAGGGUCUGCCAAAGGUGGGAAAGUCUUUCACAAGGCACUAACUUCAAGCUGCCGUUGUGAAUAUAGUAUCUUCUGCAAGCAAAUAACAGUUGUCGAUGAAAUUUGAUUCUAUAGACUAAACAGCCUUAACAGUUUUCGACUUUAUGAUGGGCUUCAAUAGCUUUACAUCAGAAGCAGACUUAAAAGGCUCAUAAGAGAAAGACGUAAAAUGAGAAGUUAGUGCCCCUUGAUACCAUCUUUCAGCAUAUGCACAGCUAGGGCUGUGAGACUACGACAACCUUUCCCUAGUGUAAUGUCAACGUCGGCUAUCACUUUGGCAGAAUCAGCCAGCUCAGUGAAGACUAAAAGAGUCCCUCCUCCUGUGUUUUCAUCUGCUGGUGGCAUUCAACGUGACCUUGCCUUGUAAAUAUUGAUUUCUGAUACAUAAACAUCUGUGAGGUUUUUUUCCAAGAUAGGAGCAAAGGUUGAUACAAUCUGGUAGAAAGAUAAGUCUGCUGAGAUGAGCUCUUAAUUAAUGCACAGAGAGCCUGAAAGUCCCACCUCUCAACAGUGAUGAUUGACAUUCAAGGAUACAUAAAUUACACUAAUUGAGAUUUGCAUCUACACAGUCUUUCCACAGCCAACUCAUCAGAG